rnacentral:lncRNA from 10 species
AAAAAAAAAAAAAGAGUUCAAGACCAGCCUGGACAACAGGGCGAAACCCCGUCUGUACUAAAAAUACAAAAAGUAGCCGUGUGUGGUGGCGGGUACCUGUAAUCCCAGCUACUCAGGGAGGCUGAGGCAGGAGAAUCACUUGAACCCAGGAGGUGGAGGUUGCAGUGAGCCAAGAUCCCUCCAUUGCACUCCAGCCUGGGCAACAUGAGUGAAACUCUGUCUCAAAAAAAAAAAAACAGAGGUAAAAAAGGGAAAACAAUAAAAUGUAGACCUAAAUCCAAACGUAUCAAUAAUCACAUUGAACAUAAAUGUUCUAAAUACACCAGUUAAAGGUUAGAGAUUGUUAGAAUAGAUAAAAAUAACUACCAACUAUAUGCUGGCUACAAGAAAUUCACUUCAAAUAUAAUAAUAAGGUAAGUUAAAAGGAUGGAAAACAAUAUAACAUGUAAAAACUAAACAAAAAGGGGCUGAACAUCAUGUCCACUAGGAUGGCUAUAAUUUAAAAGAUAGAUAAUAAAAAGUAUUGGUGAGGAUAUAGGGAAAAACCUUUUUUUUUUUUUUUUUUUUUGAGACAGAGUCUUACUCUGUCUCCCAGGCUGGAGUGCAGUGGGGCCAUCUCGGCUCACUGCAACCUCCACCUCCCAGGUUCAAGCAAUUCUCCCACCUCAGCCUCCUGAGUAGCUGUGACUACUCAGGCAAACACCACCACGUCUGGCUAAUUUUUGUAUCUUUUGGUAGCGACAGGGUUUCACCAUGAUGGCCAGGGUGGUCUCAAACUGCUGACCUCAAGUGAUCCACCGGCCUUGGCCUCCCAGAGUGCUAGGAUUGCCGGCAUAAGCCACUGUGCCCAGCCAAGAAUAUGGAGAAAUUUAAACUCUCAUGUAUUGCUGAUGGAAAUUUAAAAUGGUGCAGCCACUGUGGAAAAUGGUCCAGCAGCUCCUUAAAAGGUUAAACUUACCGAGUAUGCUUAACUGGCGUAUGACCCAGCAAUUUCACUCCUAAGUAAAUACCCAAGAGAAGUGAAAACAUAUGUACACACAAAAACUUACAUAUGAAUUUUCCUUUGUUUUUGGAGAUAAGGUCUCACUCUGUCACCCAGGCUGGAGUGCGGUGGCAUAAUCAUGGCUCACUGCAGCCUCGACCUCCUCAGGCUCAGGUGAUCCUCCCACUUCAGCCUCCCAAGUAGCUGGGACUACAGGUGCACUUGCCACCAACCAAACCUGGCUAAAUUAUUUUAUUUUAUUUUAUUUUGAGACAGAGUUUCACUCUAGUUGCCCAGGCUGGAGUGCAACGGUGCAAUCUCGGCUCACCGCAACCUCCGCCUCCCAGGUUCAGGUGAUUCUCCUGCUUCAGCCUCCCGAGUAGCUGGGAUUACAGGCAUGCACCACCACGCCCAACCAAUUUUAUAUUUUUAGUAGAGACAAGGUUUCUCCAUGUUGGUCAGGCUGGUCUUAAACUCCUGACCUCAGGUGAUCUGCCCACCUCAGUCUCCCAAAAUGCUGGGAUUACAGGUGUAAGCCACCACACCUGGCAAUACAUACAUUUUUCAAGUUCACAUGAAAAAUUCCCCAAGACACACUGUAUCUUGGGUCUUAAAACAAACCUUAACAAAUUUAAAAGGAUUGAAAUCAUACAAAUCAUAUAAGGCAUGUUAUCUGACUAUAACUGAAUUAGACUAUAAAUCUGUACCAGAAACAUAACAGAAAAAUCCCAAAAACAUGGAAAUUAAACAAAUUUCUAAAUAACUCGUGGAUUAAAAAAAAUUAGAAAAAUUAGAAAAUAUUUUGGACUGAAUAAAAAUACAACAAAUCAACAAUUUAAAAAAAAAUUCAAGUGAGGUGUAGAACAAUUUUUUAAAAUAUAACAUAUCAAAAUUUGUGGGAUGCAGCAGUGCUUACUGAUAAAUUCAUAGCAUUCAUAGCAUUAAAUAAUUUCAUUAGAAAAGUCUCAAAUCAAUAACCUAAGCUUCCACCUUAAGAAAGUAAAAAAAGGAACAAAGUAAAAUCAGGAAGAAAAAAAAAAAGAACAGAACUCAAUGAAAUUAAAAACAUAAAAAUAGGCAGGGCAGGGUGGCUCACGCCUGUAAUCCCAGAACUUUGGGAGGCCAAGAUGGGUGGAUCACCUGAGGUCAGGAGUUUAAGACCAGCCUGGACAACAUGGUGAAACGCUGUCUCUACUAAAAAUACAAAAAUUAGCGGGGCAUGGUGACACACACCUAUAAUCUCAGCUACUCAGGAGGCUGAGGCAGGAGAAUUCUUUGAACCCCAAAGGCAGAGGUUGAAGUGAACCAAGAUCACACCACUGCACUACAGCCUGGAAGACAGAGCAAGAUUCCAUCUUAAAAAAAAAAAAAAAAAGGUCUAAAUGUAAAAGGUAGGCUGGGCGCGGUGGCUCACCCCUGCACCCCCAGCACUUUGGGGAGCCAAGGGGGGAAAAUCACGAGAUCAGGCAUUUUAGACCAUCCUGGCCAAUGUGGUGAAAGCCCAUCUCUACUAAAAAUACAAAAAUUAGCCAGGCGUGGUGUUGCGCUCCUGUAGCCCCAGCUACUCGGGAGGCUGAGGCAGAAGAAUCACUUGAAACCAGGAGACAGAGGUUGCAGUGAGCCAAGAUCAUGCCACUGCACUCUAGCCUGGGUGACAGAGCAAGACUCCGUCUCAAAAAAAAAAAAAAAAAAAAAAAAGAAUGUAAAAGGUAAAGUGUUAAAACUUUAAACAAAAACACAGAAGAAGUUCUAAGUGACCCUGUGUUAGGCAGAGUCCUUUAAUACUACAACAAAAGCAUGAUCCAAAAAAGGAAAAAAUUAAUUGGACUUCAUCAAAAUUAAGAACUGCUCUUCAGAAGAUACUGUUAAGUGAAUGAAAAGAUAAGCCAAAGAAUAGAAGAAAACAUCUGCAAAUCUUGUACCUGGUGAAGAACUUAUAUCCAGAAUACGUUAAAAAUUGUCAAAACUUAAUAAGUAAACAAUCCAAUUUAAAAAUGGGCAAAAGAUCUGAAGAGACAUUUUACUAAAGAAGAUAAACAGGCCAGGCGUGGUGGCUCACGCUUGUAAUCCAAGCACUUCAGGAGGCCAAGGUGGGUAGAUCACCUGAGGUCAGGAGUUCGAGACCAGCCUAGCCAACAUGGUGAAACGCUAUGUCUACUAAAAAUACAAAAAAAUUAGCCAGGCGUGCUGGCGCGCACCUGUAAUCCCAUCUACUCAGGAGGCUGAGGCAGGAGAAUCACUUGAACCCUGCAGGUGGAGGUUGCAGUGAGCCGAGGUCAUGCCACUGCACUCCAGCCUGGGCAACAGAGCGAGACUCUGUCUCAAAAAAAAAAAAAAAAAAAAAAAGAUACACAAGUGGCAAACAAGCACCUGAAAAGGUGCUCAACAUCAUUCAUUACUCAUUAGAGAAAUGCAAAUUAAAACCGUAAGAAGCUACUACAGUUAAUAUCAAAAACAGCCUACUAUAUGAUGAUAGAAGUGACAGCAGUGGUCACCUUUAGAAGGGAAGGAGUGGGAGGGGCCACAAGGAAGCUCCUAUGGUACUAGAAAUGUCUUAUUUUUUGGUCAGGUUGGUGAAUAACACAAGGGGUUCAUUUUGUACCACUUAUGCUCACCUUUCUACAUAAACUACACUUCAAUUAAGAAUUUCAGGGCCGGGCGUGGUGGCUCACACCUGUAAUCCCAGCACUUUGGGAGGCCAAGACGGGCAGAUCACGAGGUCAGGAGAUCGAGACCAUCCCAGCUAACACAGUGAAACCCCGUCUCUACUGAAAAUACAAAAAAUUAGCCAGGCGUGGUGGUGGGUGCCUGUAAUCCCAGCUACUCAGGAGGCUGAGGCAGGAAAAUGGCGUGAAUCCGGGAGGCGGAGCUUGCAGUGAGCCGAGAUCGCCCCACUGCACUCCAGCCUGGGGGACAGAGUGAGACUCCGUCUCAAAAAAAAAAAAAAGAAGUUCAGGCCAGGCAGAGUGGCUCACACCUAUAAUACCAGCACUCCGGGAGGCUGAGGCAGGCAGAUGGAUUACCUGAGGUCAGGAGUUUGAGAACAGCUGGCCAACAUAGCAGAACCCCAUCUCUACUACAAAUACAAAAAUUAACCAGGCAUGGUGUACGCCUGUAAUCCUAGCUACUCAGGAGGCUGAGGCAGGAAAAUCGCUUGAACCCAGGAAGCAGAGGCUGCAGUGAGCUGAGAUCGCACCACUGCACUCUAGCCUGGGCUACAGAGUGAAACUCCAUCUCAAAAAAAAAAGAAAGAAAAAGAAAAGAAAAUAAUCUACAAGCUAUUAAUCUCAAAGUAUAAAUCAUUAGCCUCUACCAGUAAACUAUUAAAACCCAAAAGAACCUAUACAGGUAAAGAAAGAAUAAAUGAAACUGAUAUAAUUGUACAAAAGAAUUUUUUUUUUUUUUUGAGACGGAGUCUCACUCUGUCGCCCAGGCUGAUCUCCGCUCACUGCAAACUCCACCUCCCGGGUUCACACCAUUCUCCUGCCUCAGCCUCCCGAGUACCUGGGACUAUAUGGCGCCCACCACCACUCCCGGCUAACUUUUUGUAUUUUUAGUAGAGACGGGGUUUCACCGUGUUAGCCAAGGCAUGGUCUCGAUCUCCUGACCUUGUGAUCCACCUGCCUUGGCCUCCCAAAGCGCUGGGAUUACAGGCAUGAGCCACAGCGCCCAGCCACAAAGGAAUCUUAUAUGGCAAUAAAAAUGAACUACAUAGCGAGGCAUAAUGGCGUGCGCCUGUAAUCCCAGCUACUCAUGAGGCUGAGGCACGAGAACCACUUGAACCCAGGUGGUGAAGGUUGCAGUGAGCCAAGAUCGUGAGACUGCACUCCAGCCUGGGUGUCAGAGCCAAGACUCUGUCUCAAAAAAAAAAAAAAAAAAAAAAAAGCCUGAAAGACACCAGGAAUAGCACACCCUAAAGAGUUUCAUUUAUACCUUCAAAAACAGGCAAAUUAAUCUGAUGUUAAAACUCAUCUUUUGUUCAUGAUUGGUAGAUAGUGGUUACUUUUAAAAAGGAAGGAGGGCCAGCCUGGGCAACAUAGUGAAACCUUGUCUCUACAAAAAAAAUCAAAAUAUGAGGCGACAGGAUCGCUUGAGCCUGAGAGGUUGAGGCUACAAUGUGCCAUGAUCUCACCAGUGCACUCCUACCUGGGUGACAAAGCCUGAAAAAAAAAAAAAGGAAGAAAGGAGUAAUAAUUGGUAGAGAGUUCAAGGGGAAUUUCUAGAGUUCUAUAAUAUUUUACAUCUUGACCAGGUGAUUGUUAUGUGGAUGUAUUCACUUUCUGAUAAUUCACUUAGCUGUAUACUUCUGAUUUGUGCACUUUAAUGUACACACACUAUAUCUCAAUGUUUCAAGAAGGGUUAUUUCAAGUUCUUCUAAUCAUAUUCCACUACUAAAAACAUUUUAACAAUUCCCCAUAGCCUAAAUGCAAAAUCGAAGGUCUUAAGCAUGGCAAAGCAUAAUAUGGUUCCUAUCUUUAACUUAAUCCUCAUGUCUGUCCAUCCCCACGUAUACUUUGUAUUUCAAUUUAUCAAAUUAUUUACAGGCCCAGAACAUAAAAUACUGCUUCAGCCUUCAGGCCUUUAGAUAAUAUUUCCAUUAGUUGAAAUCUUCUCCCUCUUUACACGCCACUAGGUCACCAAACUGUCCCUGAAAUUUCCACCCAACUUGGAUAUUUACUCCUCCAAGAUGCUUCCCUACCCCUCCACUCCAAAAUUAAUCACCCUCUUUUCUAUAUUCAGUGUAUUACUGCAUGCAUCAAGUGAUGGCACAACUGUCCAUAUGUCAGUCCAUACUCUAUUGUAAUGUAAACAAUUCAAGCACAAAGUCUAAAUUUUCCUGUUGCCAAUGCCAAACAUGAGGCUUGGCAUGUGGUGGUUACUUAACAAAUUUCACUCUUAUGUUUAUUUCUGUACUAAUUAAGACUGUAAAAUUAUCUAGGAUGAAGCCUAAGUCUUAUAAUUCCUCCACAGCACACAGCAUAGCAAGAGCACACUGCAGGCAUACAACAGUGAUGGUUUAGCUAGCAGUGGAAUGUUUACCGAAACACAGUUCCAUGGACAAAAUGCACUUUUCAAACCAUAUGCUUACCUAUAAGAUAAGAUACGUAUGUCCUACUGGAAUUGCAAAAGGUCAUCUUUAUAUAUAUAUAUAUAUAUGCAUUUCUAGAGUUUUGAGCUACAAGAAACCAAUAGCAAUCACCUAGUCACAACCCUUAGGAAAGAACAGAAGCCUAGAAAAAUUAAGUGGCUUACUCAAGGUUAAGACUAUAGCCAAAAGAGUCAAGACUAGGACUCAGAUUGCCUAGGUUCUCUCACAAUCCAUGUAGCCUCCCUUUUGUACUAUCUGACUUCUCCAAGUAUGACUGCUUUACUAUUUUAUAUUUAGAUGGUUAAUAUCCUCAAUUGCAGGGCCUUUAAAAAUUUUCCUUUUAAAAUUUGUCUUUAACAAACAAAUACUAAAAGUACCAACAAGUUCAACCAGGAAAACACCAUUUCCAGUUCCAAUAUCAAGCACUGAAGCAUCCAGUGGAAUCUUGUGUUUCUGCAUCCACCUUAUUAGUCGAUUCAUACUCUCUUCUCCAAACCUGUUAGAGAGAAUCAGUCAAAUAACUGAGGGAUACAGAGCAAAAGUCACCACUAUAUUCCAUUUAAGCUAUUUAUACCAUAUGCUCAAACUCUUAUUUGAAAGUGAAAACAUCUGUGACUGCUUCAGCUUUGUCUCUACUGUAAUUUAGGAGAAACCACCUCCAGGAAUACAACAGAAUAGACAAGGUCAGUAUGUUAUUUACUAACAUUUCUCUAUAUCAGCAUUAACAGUUGUAUGUGUUGGUGUCUCAGAAUUUUAUUGUUUAUUGACAAAGGACAACUAUAGGGUGAAAUGCUGUCAUCAAACGUAAAUGUGAGAUAUUAAAAGAGGGCUCACACCCAUUCUCCCAACACUUUGGAAGGCCACGGUGGGAGGACUGCUUGAGGCCAGGAGUUCGAGACCACCCUGGGUAACACAGUGAGACCCUGUCUCUACAAAAAAGAAAAUUUGCUGGGCAUGAUGGCAUGCAGCUAUAGUCCCAGCUACCCAGGAGGCUGUGGCGGGAGGAUCACCUGGGCCCAGGAGGUCCAGGAUGUAACGAGUUAUGAUGAUCAUGCCACUGUACUCCAGCCUGGAUGACAGAAUGACACCCCACCUCUCUAAAAAAAAAAAAAAAGUAAAAAAUUAAAAAAGAAUAAAAGAAGAGACAUACUUUAAAUCUACCCACUAAAGCCAGACUUAAUCCAGGGUUCCCAGGAUUUUUAGGCUUUCUUUGGGUAUAAGCACUUGAAUAUAUGCAUUUUUUUUUUUGAGAUGGAGUCUCACUCUGUCGCCCAGGAUGGAGUGCAGUGGCGCGAUCUCAGCUCACUGCAAUCUCCGCCUCCCAGGUUCAAAUGAUUCCCCUGCCUCGGCCUCCCAAGUAGCUGGGACUACAGGCGCGCGCCACCAUGCCUGGCUAAUUUUUUGUCUAAUUUUCGUAGAGACAGGGUUUCACCAUGUCGGCCAGGAUGGUCUCUAUCUCCUGACCUCGUGAUCUGCCUGCCUCGGCCUCCCAAAGUGCUGGGAUUACAGGCGUAAGCCACCGCGCCCGGCGAAUAUAUACGUAUUUUUUUAAACACACACACAUAUACAUAUAAUCUUCUAGAUUAUAACUUGAUUCUUUUCCUAACUCACCAGAUUUCACCUGUAUCUCCAUAUUCUCGGAAAGUUUGCAGUUCUCUCUCAUAGACAGCAUCCCAACUAUGUAAACAAUGAAAUGCAAAGCAAGACUCUUGAAUUAAACUGUAUUAUGAAUUAAAUGUAUGUUUCUAAUACAUUACAGAGCUAUUUAUGACAGAGGUUUAAACAUCACUAGUGUUAUUAAUAAAUACACAUAGUUCAAUCUUUUAACGUCCUUGAGUUAAAAGAAGGAAAUACAUGGGCAAGCAGAAUACGUUUAUACUGUACAUGUAAAGCAUUUAGGACAAUAUCUGAUGCACAACAAUAAGUUUUAGCCUAAAAAAACACAAAGACAUUUGUCCACGUAUCCCUAAGUCCCUGACCCAAGUUCAAAACUUGAUGAAACAAGCACAUCUGGUCUCAAGUGUGCAGGCACACAGUCUCUUUCCUGUGCUAUUUGUCUCUGCCUAUUCCAGUCUUCUAGCCCUCCGUUUAAAUUUUCUCUGGACGCUUUUCUUCUUUUUUUGAGACGGAGUCACGCUCUGUCACCAGGCUGGAGUGCAGUGGCGCGAUCUCGGCUCACUGCAACCUCCGCCUCCC